rnacentral:rRNA from 1 species
UACAGAGGUGGCAAGCGUUGUUCGGAAUUACUGGGCGUAAAGGGCGCGUAGGCGGUCCCGUCAGUCCCUUGUGAAAUCCCCCGGCUCAACUGGGGAACUGCAAGGGAUACAGCGGGGCUUGAGUUCGGGAGAGGGAUGCGGAAUUCCAGGUGUAGUGGUGAAAUGCGUAGAUAUCAGGAGGAACACCGAUGGCGAAGGCAGCUCGCUGGGACGGUACUGACGCUGAGGCGCGAAAGCGUGGGGAGCGAACAGG